GCCCUGUUUGCAGGGGGCAGGUCAGGGGACUCAAAAUCCCCCGCCGCAAGGCGUGCCGGUUCGAUUCCGGCCCUGGGCACCA
rnacentral:tRNA from 1 species